GUAUGAUUAGCUAGUUNGUGGGGUAAGGGCCUACCAAGGCNACGAUCAGUAGCUGGUCUGAGAGGAUGAUCAGCCACACUGGGACUGAGACACGGCCCAGACUCCUACGGGAGGCAUCAGUGGGGAAUUUUCCGCAAUGGGCGCAAGCCUGACGGAGCAAGACCGCGNGCGGGAGGACGGCCUAUUGGUUGUAAAGCGCUUUUGAUAGGGAAGAAGCACUGACGGUACCUAUCGAAUCAGCAUCGGCUAACUCCGUGCCAGCAGCCGCGGUAAUACGGAGAAUGCAAGCGUUAUCCGGAAUUAUUGGGCGUAAAGCGUCCGUAGGUGGUUGUUCAAGUCUGCUGUUAAAGCUUGCGGCUUAACCGCAUACCAGCAGUGGAAACUGGGCGACUAGAGUGCGGUAGGGGUUAGGGGAAUUCCCA
rnacentral:rRNA from 1 species